rnacentral:rRNA from 1 species
GAUGAACGCUGGCGGCGUGCCUAAUACAUGCAAGUCGAGCGAACAGACGAGGAGCUUGCUCCUCUGACGUUAGCGGCGGACGGGUGAGUAACACGUGGAUAACCUACCUAUAAGACUGGGAUAACUUCGGGAAACCGGUGCUAAUACCGGAUAAUAUAUUGAACCGCAUGGUUCAAUAGUGAAAGACGGUUUUGCUGUCACUUAUAGAUGGGUCCGCGCCGCAUUAGCUAGUUGGUAAGGUAACGGCUUACCAAGGCGACGAUGCGUAGCCGACCUGAGAGGGUGAUCGGCCACACUGGAACUGAGACACGGUCCAGACUCCUACGGGAGGCAGCAGUAGGGAAUCUUCCGCAAUGGGCGAAAGCCUGACGGAGCAACGCCGCGUGAGUGAUGAAGGUCUUCGGAUCGUAAAACUCUGUUAUUAGGGAAGAACAAAUGUGUAAGUAACUAUGCACGUCUUGACGGUACCUAAUCAGAAAGCCACGGCUAACUACGUG